AUGUUUCUCAGUAUGCUGGUGGCAUGGUUGAUCCCAGACAUGCCUCGUUCUCUGAAAGAGCAGCUAAAGAGAGAGAAAGCACUCCUGAUGGAUCUUCUGCUCACUGAGGAGGCGGACAAGCAGUGCACCCAGUCACACCCAAUGACUACUACCAACAAUGAUGUAGUCAUCAAGGGUCUAGAGGAGGGAUCACCAGAAGAUCUGCCUGUCUGCAGUGGAGUAAUGCUAAGCCAGUCAGAUGAAGAGCUGACCGACAGAGAGGAGGAAGAGCUUGAGGAACAACCAAUUGCAUCCACCAGUGAUCUGCCUGAUAGACCUCGACCUCCGACCUGUGAAAGCCUCAAUACAACUUCAGAGUCCCUGUCUAAGAUAGCCUGUCUUGAUGAAACACUCAACACACCUUUAGCAUGUUCAGACCAGUCCAUUCAUUCAAUCAAAACCGGCUCACUAUCACGGCAUCAAGAGUUUGACUCGAAUGGACCUCCACCUCGAGACCCAAGUUCCAGGGCUAAGAGCCGUUGCCAAACCCUUCCGCCAAGGCACGGAGGACCUGAAGCAGAAGCACAUGCAACCAGACCCAGCCACUCGACGACAUUCACACAUCUCAACCAGAGAGUUCCUCCAUCAUCUUGUGAGCUCACUCCUAGAGGACCAUCUAAAACCAAGCCCUCUGAAAGCCAAAUGUCUGUCUCAGAUUCACUGGAUUCAGAGCUUACAAGCAGCCAUUCCAUAGCACUUCCUCUCCCACCACCCAGACCGGAGCUUGCUAGCAGCCUUUCAACUGUCUUGCCACGUCCUCCUUCCAAACCAGAACUUGUGGCCAGGCAGUCAGCAGGAUUACCACGCCCUCCCUCCAAACCAGAGCUGAUGGGAAGCACAACAAAAGGGCUUCCACCUCGUGAUCCGGGCUCGAACGUUAAGGGCCGAUGCCAGACUCUUCCUCCAAAGUAUAGAGGCUCAGAUACAUCUGGGGAGACGGAGACCAGACCUAGUCACUCCACCACAUUCAAUAACCUCAGUCAACAGAUCCCCCCCUCACCGAGAGAUCUCAAACCUAACACUCCUGUAUGA
rnacentral:lncRNA from 1 species